GCCAAAAUAGCUCAGCGGUAGAGCAGCUCACUCGUAAUGAGCAGGUCAAGGGUUCAAUUCCCUUUUUUGGCUCAA
rnacentral:tRNA from 1 species